rnacentral:rRNA from 1 species
AUGGAAGAUGCGGAGGGGAAGCCGAGGGUAAUCAUCCGGGAGUACAGCCCGUCGACGGACCGCGCCGGCACCGAGGCCGUCGAUCGCGAGUGCGAGGUCGGCCAGCCCGGCGGCAUGUCGCUCCACGCCGACCUGCUCGGCGACCCCGUCGCCCGCAUUCGCAACUCGCCGGCGUAUCUCAUGCUGGUAGCUGAGACGUCCGCCCAGCCCGGCCGCAUCGUCGGGCUCAUCCGCGGCACCGUCAAGUCCGUGGCCACGGGGAAGAGCUGCCCCGGCGCGCCCGCCUUCGCCAGCGUCGGCUACAUUCUCGGCCUCCGCGUCUCACCUUCCCACAGGAGGAUGGGCGUGGCGCUGCGGCUGGUAGGGCAUCUGGAGCGGUGGUUCGCGCUGAUGGGCGCCGAGUACGCGUACAUGGCCACGGACAAGUCCAACGAGGCGUCUGUGCAGCUCUUCACCGGGCGGUGCGGUUACUCCAAGUUCCGCACGCCGUCGCUCCUCGUGCACCCCGUGCACGCGCACCGCCUCCGGGCGCCGCGCCGCGCGGCCGUCUUGCCCCUGGACGCGCGCGACGCCGAGCGGCUGUACCGCCGCCGGUUCGGCCACGUCGAGCUCUUCCCGGCCGACAUCGGCGCCGUCCUCGUCAACAGGCUCUCGCUCGGCACGUUCCUGGCCGUCGUGGACGACGGUUUCAGGUGGCGCGGGGUGGAGCACUUCCUGGCCUCGCCGCCGGCGUCGUGGGCCGUGGCGAGCCUGUGGGACUGCGGCGGCGUGUUCCGGCUGGAGAUGCGCGGGGCCUCGCGCCUCCGCCGCGCGGCAGCCGCCGCGAGCCGGGCGCUGGAUCGCGCGGCCAAGUGGAUGCGCGUGCCGUCCGUCCCGGACUUCUUCCGGCCGUUCGCGGGCUGGUUCGCGUACGGCCUGGGCGGCGAAGGCGACGAGGCAGCGCUGGCCGCGAAGGCGCUGUACGUGUCGUUCGUGAACAGGGCGCGCGGGAGGGCGGCGGCCGUGGCGGUGGAGGUGGCGGCGCUGGACCCGCUCCGGCGGCGGCUGCCGCACUGGCGCAGCCUGUCGUGCGCGGAGGACCUGUGGUGCAUGAAGCGGCUGGGAGGCGGCGAGCCCGACGCGGACGGCUGGGAUUGGGCCAAGUCGGCGCCCGGGCAGUCCAUCUUCGUGGACCCCAGAGAGGUGUGA